rnacentral:rRNA from 1 species
GAUGAACGCUGGCGGCGUGCCUAAUACAUGCAAGUCGAGCGAACAGAUGAGGAGCUUGCUCCUCUGACGUUAGCGGCGGACGGGUGAGUAACACGUGGAUAACCUACCUAUAAGACUGGGAUAACUUCGGGAAACCGGAGCUAAUACCGGAUAAUAUAUUGAACCGCAUGGUUCAAUAGUGAAAGACGGUUUUGCUGUCACUUAUAGAUGGAUCCGCGCCGCAUUAGCUAGUUGGUAAGGUAACGGCUUACCAAGGCAACGAUGCGUAGCCGACCUGAGAGGGUGAUCGGCCACACUGGAACUGAGACACGGUCCAGACUCCUACGGGAGGCAGCAGUAGGGAAUCUUCCGCAAUGGGCGAAAGCCUGACGGAGCAACGCCGCAUGAGUGAUGAAGGUCUUCGGAUUGUAAAACUCUGUUAUUAGGGAAGAACAAAUGUGUAAGUAACUAUGCACGUCUUGACGGUACCUAAUCAGAAAGCCACGGCUAACUACGUG